ACGGGAGGCAGCAGUAAGGAAUCUUGCACAAUGGGGGAAACCCUGAUGCAGCAACGCCGCGUGAACGAUGAAGGCCUUCGGGUUGUAAAGUUCUGAUCUUGGGGAAGAAACAAAUGACGGUACCCAAGGAGAAAGCCCCGGCUAACUACGUGCCAGCAGCCGCGGUAAUACGUAGGGGGCAAGCGUUAUCCGGAAUUAUUGGGCGUAAAGAGUGCGUAGGUGGUUACCUAAGCGCAAGGUUUAAUCUUGGGGCUCAACCCCAUUUUGCCUUGCGAACUGGGCUACUUGAGUGCAGGAGGGGAAAGCGGAAUUCCUAGUGUAGCGGUGAAAUGCGUAGAUAUUAGGAAGAACACCGGUGGCGAAGGCGGCUUUCUGGACUGUAACUGACACUGAGGCACGAAAGCGUGGGGAGCAAACAGGAUUAGAUACCCUGGUA
rnacentral:rRNA from 1 species